rnacentral:rRNA from 1 species
UACAGAGGGUGCGAGCGUUGUUCGGAAUUACUGGGCGUAAAGCGCGCGUAGGCGGACCUGCAAGUCGGGGGGUGAAAGCCCGAGGCUCAACCUCGGAACUGCCUUCGAUACUGCGGGUCUCGAGUCCGGGAGAGGUGAGUGGAAUUCCUAGUGUAGAGGUGAAAUUCGUAGAUAUUAGGAAGAACACCAGUGGCGAAGGCGGCUCACUGGCCCGGUACUGACGCUGAGGCACGAAAGCGUGGGGAGCAAACAGG